rnacentral:lncRNA from 1 species
AAUCUGCUGAGCUGGUGGCCACCUAAAUACAAUCGUCCUGUUCCCCUCAUUGGUCUCUCCGGUCUCCUGAUUCCAGCCACAUUUUGGUGAGCCAGCCAGGAGUGAAGACGACAGGUUUGCUGUCUCCUUUGCCUGUGGGUCUGGGGCCCCAGCCUGGGGGAGACCCGUGACUCCAGGCAUGCUAUCAGGACAACUUCAACCCGAGGGGAGAUCAGCUCUCCCGCAACCUGGUGCCGCUCUCUGACAGCACAACAGAACCUAAGGGGCUACAGGAUGAUUCAAGGAACAGUGUGCUACAGGACCUCGCAAGAAGACCCUCACCAGAUGCAGCCCCUCUAUGUUGGACUUCCCAGCCUCCGGAAGUUAGAAAUGUGCUACAACCACUCAAGGUCUGCAAACAGAUUCCUAUUUAGAUGUUGUUGAGAGAUGGGGUCUCGCUCUGUCCUGGAGUGCAAUGGCACGAUCUUGGCUCACUGCAACCUCCGCCUCCCAGGUUCAAGCAAUUCUCCUGCCUCAGCCUCCCGAGUAGCUGGGACUACAGGCACACGCCAACACGCCAGGCUAAUUUUUUGUAUUUUUAAUAGAGAUGGAGUUUCACCAUGUUCCCCAGGCUGGUCUUGAACUCCUGAGCUCAGGCAAUCCACCUUCCUCUGCCUCCCAAAGUGCUAGGAUUACAGGCGUGAGCCACCGCGCCCGGUCUAUUUAUUUUCUUAACAGGGUAUUUUGCUAAGAAGUUUUACAUUUUGGUGAAGUCUAGUUUUUCCAUUUUUUUAUUAUGCUUAUUAUUUCUUAUGACUUCAGAUUUCCUUCCCUUCACUUAAUUAAUGGAGGUAUUGUAGUAUGAUUUCUUUUACCUUGUAUUUUGAAAUUUUACCUUUUACUCUGUGGUCCAUCUUGAAUUAUCUUUUAUGUAUGAUGUGAGGAUGUGAGAUUACUUUUCUUCAUAUGAAAAUGCAAUUUUUCCACCUUCCAUUCUUGAAGAAAUUAACUUUCCCCAUUUGACUGUUUUGGUGUAUUGGACAGUAAGUUUAAAAAUAUGUUUUAAAAAGUAUUUGCCAUGUUUAAAAAAUGUUUAGAAAGAAAGGCCACAUUCUUGUCUUUUUCCUUAUCUUAGAGGAAAAGGCUUCAACUUUUCACAUUGAGUAUGAUGUUAGCUGUUGGAUUGUCAUACAUGGAUUUUCUUGUUGGUGAACUUUUCUUCUAUACCUAAUUUGUAAUUGAUAAUAAUAAUAUAUUGUUUAUAUCAAAACAGCUAAAAAAGGGAUUUUAAAUGCUCUCACCACAAAGAAAUGAUAGUAUUUGGGUGGGAUAAAUAUGUUAAUUGACCAUAUUUGAUUAUUCCACAAUGUACAUGUAACAAAACACCACAUUGUACC